AGGGAAGUAGCUUAGAUGGUAGAGUGCUUGUUUUGCAUGCAAGAGGAAUGGGGUUCAGUACACUGCAUCCCCA
rnacentral:tRNA from 1 species